rnacentral:tRNA from 2 species
GCCCAAGUGGUGAAAUGGUAUACACGUAUGGUUUAGGACCAUAUGCCGAAAGGCGUGGAGGUUCGAGUCCUCUCUUGGGCACCA